rnacentral:rRNA from 1 species
GGAGUCUGGGCCGUAUCUCAGUCCCAAUGUGGCCGUUGAACCUCUCAGUCCGGCUACUGAUCGUCGCCUUGGUAAGCCUUUACCCCACCAACUAGCUAAUCAGCCGUAAGCCCAUCUAUCAGCGGAUUGCUCCUUUCCCACUUGUAUCAUGCGAUACUCAUGGCAUAUGCGGUAUUAGCAGUCAUUUCUAACUGUUGUUCCCCUCUGAUAGCCAGGUUGCUUACGUUUUACUCACCAGUCCGCCACUAACCGCUUCCAAUCUAAAAGAAUGGAUUAAGUCCGUUCGACUUGCAUGUCUUAUGUGCGCCGCCAGCGUUUAUC